AAAAAAGCAGGGCUCUUUUGCCUUUAGUGUAGUCUGCUCUCGAAAGUUGCAAGAAAAUUACUUGCAUUAUUAUUGGGUGAACCUCUGUAGUUGUUAGUGACUGAAGGUUCAGUAAAUGAUGCCAGAUGC